rnacentral:tRNA from 1 species
GGGAAUGUGGCUUAGUGUUAGAGUACUUGCCUAGCAUGCAUGAAGCCCUGGGUUCAAUUCCUCAGUACCU